rnacentral:rRNA from 1 species
GAUGAACGCUGGCGGCGUGCCUAAUACAUGCAAGUCGAGCGAACAGACGAGGAGCUUGCUCCUCUGACGUUAGCGGCGGACGGGUGAGUAACACGUGGAUAACCUACCUAUAAGACUGGGAUAACUUCGGGAAACCGGAGCUAAUACCGGAUAAUAUAUUGAACCGCAUGGUUCAAUAGUGAAAGACGGUUUUGCUGUCACUUAUAGAUGGAUCCGCGCCGCAUUAGCUAGUUGGUAAGGUAACGGCUUACCAAGGCAACGAUGCGUAGCCGACCUGAGAGGGUGAUCGGCCACACUGGAACUGAGACACGGUCCAGACUCCUACGGGAGGCAGCAGUAGGGAAUCUUCCGCAAUGGGCGAAAGCCUGACGGAGCAACGCCGCGUGAGUGAUGAAGGUCUUCGGAUCGUAAAACUCUGUUAUUAGGGAAGAACAAAUGUGUAAGUAACGAUGCACGUCUUGACGGUACCUAAGCAGAAAGCCACGGCUACUACGUG